UACGUAGGGGGCAAGCGUUAUCCGGAUUUACUGGGUGUAAAGGGAGCGUAGGCGGUCUGACAAGUCAGAAGUGAAAGCCCGGGGCUCAACCUCGGGACUGCUUUUGAAACUGCCGGACUAGAUUGCAGGAGAGGUAAGUGGAAUUCCUAGUGUAGCGGUGAAAUGCGUAGAUAUUAGGAGGAACACCAGUUGCGAAGGCGGCUUACUGGACUGUAAAUGACGCUGAGGCUCGAAAGCGUGGGGAGCAAACAGG
rnacentral:rRNA from 1 species